rnacentral:rRNA from 1 species
CAGGUACAGCGGGAAGCCACCUGGCGACAGGGAGCGGAACCCGAAAGCCUGUCUCAGUUCGGAUUGGAGUCUGCAACCCGACUCCAUGAAGCUGGAUUCGCUAGUAAUCGCGCAUCAGCCACGGCGCGGUGAAUACGUUCCCGGGCCUUGUACACACCGCCCGUCAAGCCAUGGAAGCCGGGGGUGCCUGAAGUGCGCUGCCGCAAGGAGCGCCCUAGGGUAAAACCGGUGACUGGGGCUAAGUCGUAACAAGGUACC